AUUGAACGCUGGCGGCAGGCUUAACACAUGCAAGUCGAGCGGAGUGAUGGUGCUUGCACUAUCACUUAGCGGCGGACGGGUGAGUAAUGCUUAGGAAUCUGCCUAUUAGUGGGGGACAACAUCUCGAAAGGGAUGCUAAUACCGCAUACGUCCUACGGGAGAAAGCAGGGGAUCACUUGUGACCUUGCGCUAAUAGAUGAGCCUAAGUCGGAUUAGCUAGUUGGUGGGGUAAAGGCCUACCAAGGCGACGAUCCGUAGCGGGUCUGAGAGGAUGAUCAGCCACACUGUGACUGAGACAAGGCCCAGACUCCUACGGGAGGCAGCAGUGGGGAAUAUUGGACAAUGGGGGGAACCCUGAGCCAGCGAUGCCGCGUGUGUGAAGAAGGCCUUAUGGUUGUAAAGCACGUUAAGCGAGGAGGAGGCUCUUUUGGUUAACACCCAAGAUGAGUGGACGUUACUCGCAGAAUAAGCACCGGCUAACUCUGUGCCAGCAGCCGCGGUAA
rnacentral:rRNA from 1 species